GAUGAACGCUGGCGGCGUGCCUAAUACAUGCAAGUCGAGCGGACAGCCUAUUAUCUUGCUUUUCGGAUGUUAGCGGCGUAUGUAUGAGUAACACGUGGAGUACCUACCUGUAAGACUGGGAUAACUUCGGGAAUCCGGAGCUGAUACCGGAUGAUAUAUUGCACCGCAUGAUUCAACAGUAAAGGACGGUCUGGCUGUCACUGAUGGAUGAAUCCGCGCUGCAUUAGCUAUUUGUUAAGGUAACGGCUUACCAAGGCAACGAGGCAUAUCCGCCCUGAGAGGGUGAACGCCUACACUGGAACUGAGACACGGUCCAGACUCCUACGCGAGGCCGCAGUAGGGAAUCUUACGCAAAGGGCGAGAGCGUAACAGAGCAACACGGCGUGAGUGAUGAUGCUGUUCGGAUGGUAAAACGCUGUUAUUAGGCAAGAACAAAUCUUCAAGCAACUGUGAACAUAAUGACGGUACCUAACCAGGAAGCCCCGGCUAACUACGUG
rnacentral:rRNA from 1 species